AAUGAACGCUGGCGGCAUGCCUAACACAUGCAAGUCGAACGAGCACUUCGGGUCUCUUGGCCUCCGUGUCCUUAACGCGUGGGAACCUGCUAUCACGUUGGUAACAACUCCCUGAAAGUGGUGUUACUUCGGGAUAAUGUCUCCGGUCCAAAGAGUUAUCGCCUUUGGAUGGGCCCGCGUUGGAUAGACUAGUUUGCAGUGUUAAAGCCUACGACGGCCUCAAUCCUUAGCUGGUCUGAGAGAAUGAUCAGCCACACUGGGACUGAGAUACAGCCCAGAAUCCUACGGGAUGGAGGAGUGGGGAAUAUUGGAAUAUGGGCGAAAGCAAGAACCUGCACUGACGGGUGAGUGAUGAAGGACUUAAGGAUGUAAAACUCUUUUAACCGGGAUGAUAAUGACAGUACCGGGAGAAUAAGCUCCGGCUAACUCCGUG
rnacentral:rRNA from 1 species